ACCUGCUCUCCUCUGUGGCAGUGUGGUUAGCUGGUUGAGUAAAUCCUGUCAACCGCUGACUACACUACCUUAGAGUGGAUCAACAU
rnacentral:pre_miRNA from 1 species